rnacentral:tRNA from 2 species
GGCCUGAUAGUUCAGUGGUAGAAUUCUUGCUUUGGGUAAUUCUAAAUGUAAGAGGUCUCCGGUUCGAUCCCGGAUUAGGCCC